UUGGCAGAUAUUGGCUUCAACUCCCGUCAGUUUAUUCAGCAAAUAAGACUGCAUUCACAAACUGCAGCAGCUGAUGUUUGUUGUGCCCCAUCAGUUUGGUGUUCCUUUCUAGCUCAGAGUGGGUCUCUCACAUCCAGUCAGGUGCAUAUGUGUCUGGACGACACUUGGAUUACAAUAUUUUGUUUUCUGAAACUAAUGAUGGCUUCCUUCUCUUAGAUUGACACGUCUGUUGACCUCAUAUUUAGAUUUCAAGAGAACAGCAACCAAAUCCAAAUUCAACAAAACCACUUCAGACCUCAAUGAGGCUUCAUUACGAAAGAACUGGCCUCCCCUGGCCAUGAAACUGUUCCUCGGUCGAUAACAGUAUUUGCCUGUUAUUUUUGGCCAUUUGAUAAACAAAAGUAUACUGUGUAUUUUAGUAACUCAAACUCCUACUUUAGAUGAGUAACGGACUUGUAAGCAGUUUAUCUCUUAUGUCAUAUGAAAAAGGUUGAAGUCUUUUACAUCUGAUAUUCAGAUAUUUGUAUUUGUAGAGAAUUCACAUUAACAUUUCUUUUAAAUUUUGUUUUGUUAAUAAAAAUAUAAAGGACAGUAACUACAAUGAGAGACAAACAAAAAAAAAAAAGAGUGAGAGGACUACAGAGUAUAGUAGCGAUGCAGUAAUACAGUCACACACAAAAAAACAAAGCAAGAUUUAAUUAAAUUCCAUGAAGACCAUCCAGCUCCUCUCAGGCUUGUAGAACUGCAGCAGCCUGUUCCUUUGAUAAGCCCAUAAAGUCCUCAUACUGCUUCACCUUACUGGAACACGUUGUUGUUUAGAGCUUGUUAAAAUGAUUUCAUUUGACUGUGCAAUCAUUUCAGAAGCAAAAAUGUGUUUCAAAAACCUAAUCUUAACCCUAGCUGAGUCACCAGUGAAGUUAAACAUCAGUAUCUGCUUAGAAUUUCACAAUUGGUGCAUUCCUGUGUUUUUAUUUAUUUUAUUUUUUUAAAUCCAUUUCUAACCGAGAAUGAUGUAGCCGUCAUGCAAGGCCUCCUGCUGACCUGUAGAGUUCUUAUUUUUGUCUUCCACACUUAAACUUUUUGUGGCGUUUCCAGUGAGAAACCAUGUGCCAGAUCUCUAAACAAACAAAAGGUUAAACAUUACACAAGUUUAAUCCAGAUUUUCAAUCAGCAGACACAGUCAGCUGACACCUCAGACCUCCUGUGAUUAUCAAGCAAGGCGGCGUGGUGCCAUUUCAUAGCAGAGUUUAUGAGCUGUUUGACAUGCUGACCUUAUUUUCUGCAGGGGUCAAACCCUCGUCAUAAUGAAGCUUUUCAUCACAAACCCUAAAACAACCACUCAGACUACAUCUAUAAAUAUUUUACAGAGAAAGAAAAGGAGUGGUGGAGAUGCGUCUGAUAAAGCUCUUAACCAUUUACCACUCUACUUAUUCUCUCCUGCUUUAGUUAACUCAGCAGCCUACCAAUCCCUUCUUCAAAACCCACACUUCUUCCAGAAGAUGCAAAUCAUUAACUCCUUAUCUUGCUGCUUGGCCAAUCAGUAUGCAGGCAUCCAGUGAUUUUCCUGUCUAGUGAGUCACGCCACUGGACUCUAAAAGCCCUUUCACCCACCGCUGAUCCUGAUCGAUAGGAGUAAAUGAACCAAGGAUUCCUUUGGUCAUUUUGUUUGGUGUUUGCAUCAAUAAUGUUGUUUGUUUUUUGCGUCCCAGGUUUAUACCCAGCCUGCGUCAAAUGUACAAAUAAAAAAAAUCGUACAGAGUUCAGGUAUCAGUACAUUUAAAUUUGUAUUUAUUUAUUUUUAUUGUAGCAGUGUCCCCGUCAAAUUUGACUCUUGAUGCGAACAUUCAGCCAGGUUCAUCAUUGGAUUUUUUUAAUUUAUUUUUUUGUGAGUGUUUCUAAAUCUUACACAUGGAAACACAGUAUAAAUAAUGGUCCGUUUAAAGCCUUUGAAAAGUAGUGAGUUUGUGUGAAUAUGGUGUAACCUAAUCAGAAAAGCCCUUGUAAUAGGAAAUUAUGUGUUUUGUAAUAUUUCUGUAUGGGAUGUAAUAAAUUAUUCUACGGCAGUACUUUCUAUGGGAAACUACUUAAAAUGUGACAGUCUUUGUUAGUAUUUAUCUUCCAAUUUAAAUUAUUGUCUUUUUUUUCUCUUUUUUUUUCGCAAUUUGUAGAUAGUGACGAUGACAAGGUAUGGGUAAUCACGAAAUUAACUGUUUCAUCAUCGGUCCGAUGCAUUGUUUAAUUUAUUGAUGUAUAUAGUGUACGUUUGUUGAUAAACAGCUUACUUUAUUUUGUAUAUGACCAAUAAACAUGUUUUAAAAUGGAA
ensembl:lncRNA